GGACAAGCAAACAGCGGAUGUGCAGUUCCUCUCUUCGCCGAACCCGGUUUUCCCUUUCGGAGCAGCGCGACCGAUUUCCGGUUUCCCCGCCGCAACCACCGUUACCCCCCCCCCGCCCCAAUCCCCGGCGACUCCAGCGACGUCACCGGUUCAGCUCCUGACCUUUCGGCGAACCGCAGAACCACAGGCGACCCGUUCGACGUCAUCACUCCCCGCCCAGAUGUCGCUGUGACAUCACCCCGCACGUGCCUGCGCUGGCACCGCGUCGUCCUGGCGAGCGCCUCCUCGCGGCGGAAGGAGAUCCUGGGGUUCGCUGUGCGAGACAUGUCGGCGGGGUUUCACGUGAGUGACACUUGGUCCCCACGGGAUUGACAGCGACUAGCGGAGUGGCAUGUGGACGUAGCUUCAGGCCUUGGAGGGGCUGAUCCUGGAGAAGUCAAAGGACCAGGAGGACGCCAUGGGGGGUGCUGUACAGGCUGAGCAGGAAGCAGAGCAGCACAGCGUCAUCAUGAGGGUAGCCAUCUUCACCUGGGGCAUCCACGGAGGAGGAGCUGAUCCACGACUACUUGGACAACAGCACACCAGCGAAGGAUGGGACAAGGCCUGGGGCCUCCGCCAUCCAUGCGUGGGGAGUGAUGCUGGUAGAGGGCAAAUUGGUGACGUCAUCAAUGCAGCGGGCUUCCCACUCAACCACUUUAGCCGCAAGCUUGCAAGGGCAGCUGCCAGAGACAGGAAGUGACAUCGCUGUGGAGAGGGCAGCAGGAAGUGAGGUGGAAGAAAAGUGUUUUGAAACUGACCCUACAGAUAAAAGAGUUCAUCAUGAAUGCGAUACCCUCCUAUACAGUUGUUAGAAGCAACCCUCCAUCUCCAACUCCAAAAAUAAAUGAAAACCAAACCACACAGUUGGAAAUCAGCAAGAAGAGAACCGGAUGGUGGAUGGCAGCAGAUGGACAGGAGAGCACUCAGCAGCACUUGCUCUUCCAGCCCGUCACGCCUCCUCCACUGCUGAUAUCUACGUUUUCACUGUUGGGUUCUUUUACAGGGGUCUGCAACAACACAAGGAAGCAAGCAACCCGUGAGAAAGCACUGGCAUGGAUGAAAACAGACUCACUGGAAAGAUGCAAAGCAAUGUCAGGUUACACAACAAAAGGCAAUUACAGUCAUAUGAGGGAGUGUUCGAAAAGUUGUAAUUUGAAAACUGUUUUUGGUUGUCCUUUAGUUGGCCUCCUCUGUAAAUUGUGACAGACAUCUCCUGACAACACUUAAAGCAUCUCAAACCAUCCUUGCCCUGAUCUAUGAGUUCUCAGAACAGAAGGACUACUGAGCCAGGCGUGGUAGCACAUGCCUGUGAUCCUACAACUCAGAAGACAGAAGAGGAAUUCUAGGUCAGCCUGGGCUAGACAGACAGCAAGACUCUUGUUUUGUUUUGAAAGGCUGGUGAGGUAGUUCAGCGGGUUAACUGCCUGGUCUAAGCCCAGUGACGUGAGUUUGUGUGCUGUGGAGCUUCUGCAAACCCUGCCCCUGCCAAAUAAAAACUCGUAAUUUAUAAC
rnacentral:lncRNA from 1 species